UCGGAGAGAUGGUGGGACCUGCAAUCCUC
rnacentral:piRNA from 1 species